GGACGAACGCUGGCGGCGUGCUUAACACAUGCAAGUCGAGCGGUAAGGCCCUUUCGGGGGUACGACGAGCGGCGAACGGGUGAGUAACACGUGGGUGACCUGCCCUCAGCUCUGGGAGUAAGCCUGGGGAAACUGGGGUCUAAUACCGGAUAUGACUCCAUGACGCAUGUUGUGGGGUGGAAAGCCUUGUGCGGCUGAGGAUGGGCCCGCGGCCUAUCAGCUUGUUGGUGGGGUGAGNGGCCUACCAAGGCGACGACGGGUAGCCGGCCUGAGAGGGCGACCGGCCACACUGGGACUGAGACACGGCCCAGACUCCUACGGGA
rnacentral:rRNA from 1 species